rnacentral:rRNA from 1 species
UACAAUGGGGGGUACGAGAGGGCCGCUACCACGCGAGUGGAUGCCAAUCCCUAAAACCCCUCUCAGUUCGGACUGGAGUCUGCAACCCGACUCCACGAAGCUGGAUUCGCUAGUAAUCGCGCAUCAGCCACGGCGCGGUGAAUACGUUCCCGGGCCUUGUACACACCGCCCGUCAAGCCAUGGGAGCCGGGGGUACCUGAAGUGCGUAACCGCGAGGAUCGCCCUAGGGUAAAACUGGUGACUGGGGCUAAGUCGUAACAAGGUAAC